AGCAGCCGCGGUAAUUCCAGCUCCAAUAGCGUAUAUUAAAGUUGUUGCAGUUAAAAAGCUCGUAGUUGAAUUUCGGGAUCAAUUAAUUGGUCGUGCCUCUGGUACGUACUGAUUUUAUUGGUUUCUCCCUUCUGAAGAACCAUGAUGUCAUUAAUUUGGUGUCGUGGAGAAUCAGGACUGUUACUUUGAAAAAAUUAGAGUGUUUAAAGCAAGCUAACGCUUGAAUACAUUAGCAUGGAAUAAUGAAAUAGGACGUUUGACCCUAUUUUGUUGGUUUCUAGGAUCGACGUAAUGAUUAAUAGGGAUAGUUGGGGGCAUUAGUAUUCAAUUGUCAGAGGUGAAAUUCUUGGAUUUAUUGAAGACUAACUACUGCGAAAGCAUUUGCCAAGGAUGUUUUCAUUAAUCAAGAACGAAAGUUAGGGAUCGAAGACGAUCAGAUACCGUCGUAGUCUUAACCAUAACUAUGCCGACUAGGGAUCGGAUGAUGUUAAUUUUUUUAAUGUACUCAUUCGGCNCCUUA
rnacentral:rRNA from 1 species